rnacentral:lncRNA from 1 species
AGUUGCUGAACGGGAGAAACGGAAGCUCUUAAGCGUUGUUCCAGCCAGCACAUGGAAGCAACUCAGGUGCUCAGGAGGCUGAGAGGAGGAAGCAGCGUGGAGGGGGCUGAGGAUGGAGCUCAGUUGGUGGAAUGCUUGCUUCACAGACACAAAACAACCCAGGGCUGCAGAGAUGUCUUUAAGAACAUUUCUGUUCUUCCCAAGGACCUGAGUUUGGUGCCAGAAUCCACAGCUGGUGGUCCGUAAUAGCCUGUAACUUCAACUUCCUGUAACUCCAGCUCCAGGGGGUCCAAUGCCCUUUUCUGGCCUUCCUGAGCACCUGCAUACACAUCACAGACAGACAGACAUAUAAAUAAAAGUUAAAAAUAAUA